AUCCAUUUCCCUUUGAUCA
rnacentral:snRNA from 1 species